ensembl:lncRNA
UGGGCACAUGUACUUUCUGCAGAGCUGACAAAAACAUGUGGUUAUUCUAUAAUCUCUGCUUUCUCUGAAAGAAAAACAAACAGCUUUCCAACCUGACUGAUUACAGAAGAAGGCUUGAAAAGGAGAUCUAAAACCUUAAAUAUCAGAAGGUCAUUGGGAGGUGGGAGACUAUGACAAGGAAGGUUAAUGUCCUGCAUUAAGUCUGACAGCAGCAGACCUGAGAGCCAAACCUCUAAGUCUCAUCUCACCAGCUCUUGUCCUACUGGACCUUUGUAUUGUGAAAAGAUGCAGUUACUUCAAGGAGUGUGGUGAGAGGAUGUUUUGUAUUGCCAAGGUGGGAAAAUCAAAUUCUAGAAAAUAGCAAACCACCACCAUCAUCCCCUUCCCCUUCUUUGACUGCCACAACUGGUAAGUGUUUACAAGUUAUCACUCUUUAGAACCUGGAAUGAGGCACAGCUACCUUCUACAGGCAGGCAGCAAAACAUUUUAAGUAUCAGAGAGUCAUGCCAAUACAAUCUAUUGUCUGUAAGACUAAAGGUUAUUAUUUGCUUGGGGCCAGUUAUUUUAAGCCCCUUACUAUGGUAUUUUGGUAUUUUUAUAUUCUUUAUCUUUCCUCUACUUAAACAGAUAAACAAACAACCCCAACGCUUAAGAUGAGUUUACUAUGAAGACUGCCAUGAGGGGAACUGGACUGUUAGUGAUAGAGCAUCAUCAGGAAUCUGAAUGAGUUUCAUAUGCAAUAUUACAAAUUUGUGGUAUUUAUCCUAGUGCUAAGAUGCAGCUCAAGAUGAAUACCAACAGCUGUGCCCAUGUAGACAUAGCAAGAGUAAAUGCCUCUCAGAAAGAAAAGGACAACUAUGAC